GUGGGGAAUUGUUCACAAUGGGCGCAAGCCUGAUGACGCAACGCCGCGUGGAGGAUGAAGGUCUUCGGAUCGUAAACUCCUGUUGCCCGGGACGAAAAGCUCCGACCUAAUACGUCGGAGUCUGACGGUACCGGGUGAGGAAGCCCCGGCUAACUCUGUGCCAGCAGCCGCGGUAAUACAGAGGGGGCAAGCGUUGUUCGGAAUUACUGGGCGUAAAGGGCGCGUAGGCGGCCCUCUAAGUCAGACGUGAAAUCCCCGGGCUCAACCCGGGAACUGCGUCUGAUACUGGAGGGCUUGAAUCCGGGAGAGGGAUGCGGAAUUCCAGGUGUAGCGGUGAAAUGCGUAGAUAUCUGGAGGAACACCGGUGGCGAAGGCGGCAUCCUGGACCGGUAUUGACGCUGAGGCGCGAAAGCCAGGGGAGCAAACGGGAUUAGAAACCCUGGUAGUCC
rnacentral:rRNA from 1 species